UACGUACUGUGCGAACGUUAUUCGGAAUCACUGGGCUUAAAGGGUGCGUAGGCGGCCAAUUAAGUAGGGUGUGAAAGGCUUCGGCUCAACCGGAGCAUUGCGCUCUAGACUGAUUGGCUCGAGUGAGAUAGGGGUGUGCGGAACUUCCAGUGGAGCGGUGAAAUGUGUUGAUAUUGGAAGGAACGCCGGUGGCGAAAGCGGCACACUGGGUCUUAACUGACGCUGAGGCACGAAAGCCAGGGGAGCGAACGGGAUUAGAUACCCCGGUAGUCCUGGCUGUAAACGAUGAGCACUAGACGGGAGGGGCUUUAUGCCCAUUCGGUCGUCGUGAAAACACUAAGUGCUCCGCCUGGGGAGUAUGGUCGCAAGGCUGAA
rnacentral:rRNA from 1 species